rnacentral:rRNA from 1 species
CAGCAGUGAGGAAGGUGGGUAUGUUAAUAGCAUACUCAUUUGACGUUAGCUGCAGAAGAAGCACCGGCUAACUCCGUGCCAGCAGCCGCGGUAAUACGGAGGGUGCGAGCGUUAAUCGGAAUUACGUGGGCGUAAAGCGCAUGCAGGUGGUUUGUUAAGUCAGAUGUGAAAGCCCGGGGCUCAACCUCGGAAUUGCAUUUGAAACUGGCAAACUAGAGUACUGUAGAGGGGGUAGAAUUUCAGGUGUAGCGGUGAAAUGCGUAGAGAUCUGAAGGAAUACCGGUGGCGAAGGCGGCCCCCUGGACAGAUACUGACACUCAGAUGCGAAAGCGUGGGGAGCAAACAGGAUUAGAUACCCUGGUAG